UGCUGGAUCAAUAAACCUCUUGCGCUUUGC
rnacentral:piRNA from 1 species